AUACGGAGGGUGCAAACGUUAAUCGGAAUUACUGGGCGUAAAGGGUGCGUAGGCGGCAUGGUCAGUCGGAUGUGAAAGCCCCGGGCUUAACCUGGGAACUGCAUUCGAUACUGCCAAGCUAGAGUAUGUUAGAGGAAAGUGGAAUUCUCGGUGUAGCGGUGAAAUGCGUAGAUAUCGGGAGGAACAUCAGUGGCGAAGGCGACUUUCUGGAUCAAUACUGACGCUGAGGUACGAAAGCGUGGGGAGCAAACAGGAUUAGAAACCCCGGUAGUCC
rnacentral:rRNA from 1 species